rnacentral:tRNA from 1 species
UGGCAUAGCGGUUAAAGCAUUUGGCUGCUAACCAAAAGGUUGGUGGUUCAAACCCACC